rnacentral:pre_miRNA from 1 species
AGUAGAAUAGCUGGGUCAAAUGGUGGUUCCAUUCCAAGUUUUUUGAGGAAUAUCUUCCUGUUUUCCAUAAUGGUUGCACCAAUUUGUAUUCCCACCAACAAU